ACACACACACACACACACACACACACACACACACACACACACACACACACACACACCGGUUCACACACCCACAGGCAUACUAUGAUUACCAUUGCUUUGCUCAAUUAAGUGCUCAAUGGUCGUUGCUUUUGCGCAAGGGCACUACAGUAGGAGGCAAUAGAUACCCAGGUGGAAUGGGAGGAGGAGGAGGAAUGGGAGGUGGAUAUCCUACAGGUGGAAUGGGAGGAGGCAACAUGGCGGGAGGAUAUCCUGCUGGAGGAUACCCAGGUGAUCAAAUGGGGGGUGGAGGAUACCCACAGGGUGGAGGAUACCCACAGGGUGGAGGAUACCCACAGGGUGGAGGAUACCCACAGGGUGGAGGAUACCCAGGUGACAUGGGGGUCAGUACUGUCACCUGUUAUAACAGUGGGUCUUAAUGCUUUGAAUGUGGGAUAAUUUUCUUCAGUAGAUAGUUCUGCAUCAGUUAGUAAAUACAUGACUUAACGUAACACUUAUGGCUGACAGCUGUAUUCUGGUGUGUGUGAUGUGUUGUCUGUGUGUGUGUGUGUGUGUGUGUGUGUGUGUGUGUGUGUGUGUGUGUGUGUGUGUGUGUGUGUGUGUGUGAUGUCUGUGUGUGUGUGUGUGUGUGUGUGAUGUCUGUGUGUGUGUGUGUGUGUGUGUGUGUGUAUGUGUAUGUGUGUGUGUAUGUGUGUGUGUGUGUGUGUGUGUGUGUGAUGUCUGUGUGUAUGUGUGUGUGAUGUCUGUGUGUAUGUGUGUGUGUGUGUG
rnacentral:lncRNA from 8 species